rnacentral:rRNA from 1 species
AUUGAACGCUGGCGGCAGGCCUAACACAUGCAAGUCGAACGGUAACAGGAAGAAGCUUGCUUCUUUGCUGACGAGUGGCGGACGGGUGAGUAAUGUCUGGGAAACUGCCUGAUGGAGGGGGAUAACUACUGGAAACGGUAGCUAAUACCGCAUAACGUCGCAAGACCAAAGAGGGGGACCUUCGGGCCUCUUGCCAUCGGAUGUGCCCAGAUGGGAUUAGCUAGUAGGUGGGGGAACGGCUGACCUAGGCGACGAUCUCUAGCUGGUCUGAGAGGAUGACCAGCCACACUGGAACUGAGACACGGUCCAGACUCCUACGGGAGGCAGCAGUGGGGAAUAUUGCACAAUGGGCGCAAGCCUGAUGCAGCCAUGCCGCGUGUAUGAAGAAGGCCUUCGGGUUGUAAAGUACUUUCAGCGGGGAGGAAGGGAGUAAAGUUAAUACCUUUGCUCAUUGACGUUACCCGCAGAAGAAGAACCGGCUAACUCCGUG